CAAAUCCACGCUCCAACCCCACCAUUGGCAUUGCCUACCCACAGCAGAAGGUUACGCCACCCAAGAAGUUGGACACCAAUCGGGGCCCAGUCUCGGGCAGCUACAGAUUCCACGUUCCCAGUAUGCCAGAGAGAGAGGCCGAACUACAGCAAGAAGAGCUCAACUAUAGUCGCUGCUUCCAGGAGGCCUCCUCUAACAUUACCUCACAGGCACUGGGUUCCUCAAGUGCAGCAGCAUCCCACCCACAUCCCACCCUGUCACAGCAGCAGCAGCCUGCCUCAAUGGAGAACAACAGCGAGCUGAUCCUGGCUGACUUUCAGCUGAGUGGCUCCAAUGUAUGGCAGUCUCCUGAAAGGAAUUUUAAUGGUGCUAACUAUGGGGUAUCAUCACAAAAAUCCACUUCCCUUACAGAAACUAAUAAGGCAAGUGCCUUUGUGACUGGUCCAUUUCAGUAUGGAUAUAAUUUCCUGGAAGAAUCAACCUCUGACUCUUUCCCCUGUGAACAGAACCCCCAAUCCCAAGACUUUACAGACUCCUCUCUAGGUUCUGUUCAUGUGACCCACAACUCUUUUUCCUUUACGCCUGGAGAAGGGCAAAACAUUGUUCAGAACAGCACUCAGUUCAGUAAUGAACAGCAGCCAGAGGAUAGAGGCUCUUAUCCUCAACCCCCACAAUCACAGUUUAUUCAGGAGGUUACAUCUUCCAUCCAGUGUCCUAGGAAUCUGAGUGAGGACUCAGCCAGUAGUGACAGCUCUGGGUCCAGCUCACAGCAGUCAGAGCAGGGGAAGACUGCCCUGCCUGAGAGCACAGACACUAUUGCACAGGCAGACAGUAGGGAUGCAGCCAUCACCUCGGGGAGUAAGAGGAACUGUCAUCCUAAAGACACAGCCAACCAAAGAACACACAUUCAAGGAAGUGUGCACCAUGCAAGAAAUAGUUCAGGUCCAGGCUCCCAAAUGCACUUUCCAAGCAAAACAUUUAACAACCUUCCAGUCAGUAACAUUCACACAAUGCCUUUUGAUAAAAACAUCAAUAAUAAGGUUAUAAA
rnacentral:lncRNA from 1 species